rnacentral:rRNA from 1 species
AUUGAACGCUGGCGGCAUGCCUUACACAUGCAAGUCGAACGGCAGCACGGGAGCUUGCUCCUGGUGGCGAGUGGCGAACGGGUGAGUAAUACAUCGGAACGUACCCUGAAGUGGGGGAUAACGUAGCGAAAGUUACGCUAAUACCGCAUAUUCUGUGAGCAGGAAAGAGGGGGAUCGCAAGACCUCUUGCUUUAGGAGCGGCCGAUGUCGGAUUAGCUAGUUGGUGAGGUAAAGGCUCACCAAGGCGACGAUCCGUAGCGGGUCUGAGAGGAUGAUCCGCCACACUGGGACUGAGACACGGCCCAGACUCCUACGGGAGGUAGCAGUGGGGAAUUUUGGACAAUGGGCGCAAGCCUGAUCCAGCCAUGCCGCGUGAGUGAAGAAGGCC